UUCCAAGUGUAGGGGGACCGGAGUGCCGGUUGAGAUUGUAUCCUGUAGAUACUGACCCUUUGAACCUGAACUGGCUGAUACCAGCGUAGGAAACAUUCUCUUAAACGAU
rnacentral:ncRNA from 2 species